AUUGAACGCUGGCGGCAGGCCUAAAACAUGCAAGUCGAGCGGAUGAAGCGAGCUUGCUCCUGGAUUCAGCGGCGGACGGGUGAGUAAUGCCUAGGAAUCUGCCUGGUAGUGGGGGAUAACGUCCGGAAACGGGCGCUAAUACCGCAUACGUCCUGAGGGAGAAAGUGGGGGAUCUUCGGACCUCACGCUAUCAGAUGAGCCUAGGUCGGAUUAGCUAGUUGGUGGGGUAAAGGCCUACCAAGGCGACGAUCCGUAACUGGUCUGAGAGGAUGAUCAGUCACACUGGAACUGAGACACGGUCCAGACUCCUACGGGAGGCAGCAGUGGGGAAUAUUGGACAAUGGGCGAAAGCCUGAUCCAGCCAUGCCGCGUGUGUGAAGAAGGUCUUCGGAUUGUAAAGCACUUUAAGUUGGGAGGAAGGGCAGUAAGUUAAUACCUUGCUGUUUUGACGUUACCAACAGAAUAAGCACCGGCUAACUUCGUG
rnacentral:rRNA from 1 species